rnacentral:tRNA from 1 species
GGUAAAAUGGCUGAGAUUUAGGCAAUAAAUUGUAAAUUUAUGAACGAAAAAUUAUUUUCUUUUAUCA